UACUGGUGCUUAAGCUCAUUUUUGGGGGGAAGCAAUGCGACACCCUGUUCUGCAUUCACCACUGACAGCUCUCCAAAUAGGUUUGAGUUGUUUUACUCCCAGUCCAGGCAGAGCAUCCUGCUACAGGAUGAGACUUGUCUCAAGGAAUUUUUAAGUUAAUUAAUUUCCAAUUAUUAAAAACAUUUGAGUAGUGAUUUGGAUUUUUCUUUAAAAAAAAAAAACAUGCACAGGUAACCCUUUUCCUUCCCCCAUUCCAGGUCCAGCGUCUCUCCAUCACCCCAGGCACCUCUCCUCCCCCUCUUGCAAUCACUGCAGGGUGCAAUACACUCAGUUCAUUCAUUGAGGCAAUGGACAGAGCAGGGCUACAAAAAGACAAAGGGAUUUCUUCCGCUGGAAUCCCAGGAAGACCUCUGACCAGCUUCACACAGAAAAGAGUACUUGCAGGUAUAGAUAGCAUCCAUGUCUAAUCCUCAUUAACUAUAGAUUUGGCCCUUCUCCUGUUCCCAUCACACAGAACAAUGGAGUGAGUGAGGUUCUCAUCAAAACACUGUGGAACAGCUCUCUGCAGUUUCUUAUCUCCCUUGCCACAAAGCCUCCCAGGAGUACAGAAUAGCUGAAAGCCCCUUGCACUAACCCAGAAGAGUGCCUCCCUCCCAGGCAGCAGUGGGGCUUCUCAUCUUACUGCACUUUCUAACCCCCAGAGACUAUGCUGUGUAUGGAAACUUGUCAUCACAGCACUAAAUGAGUACAAGUCCACAAAACCAGUGAAGUUCACAGAACCAUUAAACCUUAAUAAUUUACAGUGUGUAUUGAAUAGCCACUUCCAAAUAUUAAACACGUCAAUUUCCUCCUGUGCUCUCUUUCCCACACUCUUUCUAUAAAAUCUAUAUUUUUGUCAUAAUGUUUUAAAAUUUAAGGUUUAGGGACUCAUGCAUCUUGUCUGUAGUUGUUUACGGUCUUAUCAGGGGAGAAAUUUGCAUUGGAUGUACUUGCACAUCAGAACAGGUUCAACCACAGUUAGUUAGCUGCAUGAGAUGAAGAGCAGAAAUGCUGAGCAGCAGCAUCAGGCUUCCCUAUGGAAAGUUUUUCUUGUUGGCUCCUGUGACUGCCCAUUUAUCUUGUAGUUGCUGGAGAUGCCCACAGGUGAAACAGGCAGUGUUAGAGACAGUUGUAUCUGCUCUGUAUCUGUCUGUCAAGCCAGCAGGACCACGGUAAAGUCUGGUGUUUACAUGUGACAUUUGUGCACAUAUCCACAGUGCUCAUCCUGUGGAGCAGAUGGUCUCCAGGCUUUUCUCUGUAGGUACUCCUUGCAGCCCUACCACUGCUCCUUACAGAUGUUUUCCUUCCAGCAGCUGUCUGAAUGGAUAGUGGCCAACUUAUGAGCCACAGCAAUUUACCAGAGAUUCCAAUAUCAGCAAAAAGUCUAUCCCAAAGAUCCCAGCCAUACCAAAUCAGAGCAGGCACAAGUCACAAUGUCACGCUGUCACAAUGUAAAUAUUGUCCCAGAGCCAAGCUGCACUUCUUGUACAAGAGAGGAAGGAGACACAGCUGCAUCAUCCACUGGGACUCAAAACUGGCAUUCUUGCUUAUUGGAUGCACAAGAUCAGUGAGACAACUUCUCCAAAUAUUUAGAACAUAAACAUCAUGGGUCACUGGAUCAAAUAAUUUUCUAUUGAAAAGCAUUCACUCAAGCAUUUAUGUCAGCUUCAUGUAUCAUUGUGCAGAACAAAACUCAGAUUCCUGACAGGAAUUCUGUUUUGUUUGUACUGGGUACACUUAAGGCUGCAAUAAAUCUUCUUUCAUGCAGGCAGUAUAAUACAGGUAACUAAACUCUCAAGAAAAUAAAAAACCUUUUCAGAGUUGACAACAUUACUACAAAAUCCUCCAGUGGCAACAUUCCCCAUAGACUUAGUUUGGCAUCCAGAGAGAGAAACUAAUAAACUUGCAACUACUUCCUUUUAACAAGGAAGAUCCAUCAUUUAUUUUAAAGCUGCAUUUCAUCUGCAGGAGUAUCUUCAAUUCCUAUUUAACUAACUGCAGUAAGCACAACUUCAUAUUUUUAGGAAAAAAAAGACAAGGUGUAGUCCUCAAAAGUUUAUUUCAAGUAUAAAAACUGUUCAGUAAGGUAUCUACAGGGUUUUUGUUCAGCAUAAAGGUUUAAUAAGAUAGAAAGAAUCAAGUACCAAAUCUCUGUAAAAAUACGAUUUGAUUUUAAAUUUUGAGUAACAGUGAAAAGGCACUUAAACAAAAGACAGCUAAUGACAAAUACAACUGUUAUGUCACAGUGAAUGUGUAAGCAAACAUAAUCUAACACUUUAUAAACAAAAAAAUUAAUCACAGUCUAGCUGAACUCAGCAACAUAAUCCAGACAAGAGUAAAUUCGAACUCCCUGCACUUCAACAAUAGAAGUGGCAAAGAAAGAGAACGAGAAAAGCAAGAGAAGUCUCCAGUAAACUAACAGUCUGCAGCACUGUGUUCAAACUAUGAACUCAAAGUUCCGUUCAUCCAAGCUCCACAAAAAGAAAUUUAACAAAACUGGGUAGCAGCAUGAAUACUUCAUAAAUGCCCCUGAUCUGUAUGCUUGCAUUGAGGGGUUUGUAUUUCUAAUCCCAGUUUAGAAAAAAAAGUUUCUACAGAAACAGAAGCAAAACCAUCAGACUACCCUACGUGGGAAACAGAAGUGUAAUGCUAGGGAAUCCACUGCAGUCCCUUUGCAGCAGAAGUAUUUUUCCACUGCCAGCAAUGGAAAGUAUAAUAAGUAGAUGUUUUUGAGAAUCAGGAAAGAAAACAGGCUAUGACAGUUUAAAUGAGUUUGUUAUUUUUUGGUCAAGAUUCAAUGAGCUAUUCUAUCUUUAUAAAAAAAAAAAAAAGAAAAAAGGCAAAAGAAGCAAUACGUUUAAAACAGCAUUUACAGCACCAAAGAA